GGGGUCGUGGCUCAGUGGGAGAGCGCAUGCCUAGCAUGUGUGAGGCACUGGGUUCGAUUCUCAGCACCACA
rnacentral:tRNA from 1 species